GGCGAGAUGGCCGAGCGGUCUAAGGCGCCAGACUAAGGAGGAGGAGGAACUACUUCUGUGUUAUCUGGUCCGAAAGGGCGUGGGUUCGAAUCCCACUCUCGUCA
rfam:Ceriporiopsis subvermispora B unplaced genomic scaffold CERSTscaffold_30, whole genome shotgun sequence.